AUACUUACCUGGCAGGGGAGACACCGUGAUCAUGAAGGUGGUUUUCCCAGGGCAAGGCUCACCCAUUGCUCUCUGGAUGUGCUGCCUCUGUGAUUUACUCAAAUGUGGGAAACUCGAUGGCAUAAUUUGUGCUAGUGGAGGGACUGCAUUCACGCUUUCUCCUG
rnacentral:snRNA from 1 species